rnacentral:rRNA from 1 species
UACAGAGGGUGCGAGCGUUAAUCGGAAUUACUGGGCGUAAAGCGUGCGUAGACGGCUAUCUAAGUCGGGUGUGAAAGCCCCGGGCUCAACCUGGGAAUUGCAUUCGAGACUGAAUAGCUAGGGUACGGUAGAGGGAAGCGGAAUUUCCGGUGUAGCGGUGAAAUGCGUAGAUAUCGGAAGGAACAUCAGUGGCGAAAGCGGCUUCCUGGACCAGCACCGACGUUCAGGCACGAAAGCGUGGAGAGCAAACAGG